UCUUGCCUAUAGUUCAUGGUAACGGGUC
rnacentral:sRNA from 1 species